AACGAACGCUGGCGGCGCGCCUAAUACAUGCAAGUCGAGCGAGAAGACGUAGCAAUACGUUUGUAAAGCGGCGAACGGGUGAGGAAUACAUGGGUAACCUACCCUCGAGUGGGGAAUAACCCGCCGAAAGGCGGGCUAAUACCGCGUACGCUUCCGAUCUUGCGGGAUUGGAAGGAAAGCUGUCCCUUGGGGAUGGCGCUCAAGGAUGGGCUCAUGUCCUAUCAGCUUGUUGGUAGGGUAACGGCCACCAAGGCAUCGACGGGUAGCUGGUCUGAGAGGACGAUCAGCCACACUGGCACUGCGACACGGGCCAGACUCCUACGGGAGGCAGCAGUGAGGAAUAUUGCGCAAUGGGCGAAAGCCUGACGCAGCGACGCCGCGUGGGGGAUGAAGGUCUUCGGAUUGUAAACCCCUUUCGGGAGGGAAGACGGCCUUAGACAACUAAGGCGGACGGUACCUCCAGAAGCAGCCACGGCUAACUUCGUGCCAGCCGCCGCCGUAAU
rnacentral:rRNA from 1 species